rnacentral:rRNA from 1 species
CGUAGGGGGCUAGCGUUGUCCGGAUUUAUUGGGCGUAAAGAGCGUGUAGGCGGCCGGGUAAGUCCGGUGUGAAAACUCGAGGCUUAACCUCGAGAUGUCAUCGGAAACUAUUCGGCUAGAGUCCGGAAGAGGAGAGUGGAAUUCCUGGUGUAGCGGUGAAAUGCGCAGAUAUCAGGAAGAACACCCAUGGCGAAAGCAGCUCUCUGGGACGGUACUGACGCUGAGACGCGAAAGCGUGGGGAGCGAACAGGAUUAGAUACCCUGGUAGUCCACGCCGUAAACGAUGGGUGCUAGGUGUGGGCGGUGUCGACUCCGUCCGUGCCGAAGCUAACGCAUUAAGCACCCCGCCUGGGGAGUACGGCCGCAAGGCUA